rnacentral:rRNA from 1 species
GACGAACGCUGGCGGCAUGCUUAACACAUGCAAGUCGAACGAAGUGGCGAACGGGUGAGUAACGCGUAAUAAACCUGCCCUUCAGAGGGGGACAACAGUUGGAAACGACUGCUAAUACCGCAUACUGAAGGAGGGGAUUGCGUCUGAUUCGCUAGUUGUAGGGGUAACGGCCCAACAAGGCGAGGAUCAGUAGCCGGUCUGAGAGGUGCACCGGCCACAUUGGGACUGAGACACGGCCCAGACUUCUACGGGAGGCAGCAGUGGGGAAUCUUCCGCAAUGGACGAAAGGCUGACGGAGCAACGCCGCGUGAGUGAUGACGGCCUUCGGGUUGUAAAGCUCUGUUAAUCGGGACGCGGUACCGGAAUAGAAAGCCACGGCUAACUACGUGCCAGCAGCCGCGGUAAUAC